CAGGGAUUGCCUCAGUAACGGCGAGUGAAGCGGCAACAGCUCAAAUUUUAAAGCUGACGUCUUUGGCGUCCGCGUUGUAAUUUGGAGAGGCAUCUUCGGUUUGGGCGCCAGCCUAUGUUCCUUGGAACAGGACGUCACAGAGGGUGAGAAUCCCGUGCCUGGCUGGCUGUCCCUUUCCAUGUGAAGUGCCUUCGACGAGUCGAGUUGUUUGGGAAUGCAGCUCAAAAUGGGUGGUAAAUUUCAUCUAAAGCUAAAUAUUGGCGGGAGACCGAUAGCGCACAAGUAGAGUGAUCGAAAGAUGAAAAGCACUUUGAAAAUAGAGUUAAAAAGUACGUGAAAUUGUUGAAAGGGAAGCGCUUGAGACCAGACUCGGCCGGAGAUGAUCAGCCGUCCUUCUGGGCGGUGCACUCGUUUCCGGCCGGGCCAGCAUCGGUUGAGACGGCGGGAUAAAGGCCCGGGGAAUGUGGCUCCUUUCGGGGAGUGUUAUAGCCCCGGGCGCAAUGCCGCCAGCCUCGACCGAGGACCGCGCUUCAUUGCUAGGAUGCUGGCGUAAUGGUCUUCAGCGACCCGUCUUGAAACACGGACCAAGGAGUCUAACAUCUAUGCGAGUGUUUGGGUGUCAAACCCUUGCGCGUAAUGAAAGUGAACGGAGGUGGGAACCCCUCGCGGGGCGCACCAUCGACCGGUCCUGAUGUCUUCGGAUGGAUCUGAGUAGGAGCAUAGCUGUUGGGACCCGAAAGAUGGUGAACUAUGCCUGAAUAGGGUGAAGCCAGAGGAAACUCUGGUGGAGGCUCGCAGCGGUUCUGACGUGCAAAUCGAUCGUCAAAUUUGGGUAUAGGGGCGAAAGACUAAUCGAACC
rnacentral:rRNA from 1 species